rnacentral:rRNA from 1 species
UGGGGAAUAUUGGACAAUGGGCGAAAGCCUGAUCCAGCCAUGCCGCGUGUGUGAAGAAGGUCUUCGGAUUGUAAAGCACUUUAAGUUGGGAGGAAGGGCAGUAAGCUAAUACCUUGCUGUUUUGACGUUACCGACAGAAUAAGCACCGGCUAACUCUGUGCCAGCAGCCGCGGUAAUACAGAGGGUGCAAGCGUUAAUCGGAAUUACUGGGCGUAAAGCGCGCGUAGGUGGUUUGUUAAGUUGGAUGUGAAAGCCCCGGGCUCAACCUGGGAACUGCAUCCAAAACUGGCAGGCUAGAGUACGGUAGAGGGUGGUGGAAUUUCCUGUGUAGCGGUGAAAUGCGUAGAUAUAGGAAGGAACACCAGUGGCGAAGGCGACCACCUGGACUAAUACUGACACUGAGGUGCGAAAGCGUGGGGAGCAAACA